rnacentral:rRNA from 1 species
UACGUAGGUGGCAAGCGUUGUCCGGAUUUACUGGGCGUAAAGAGCGCGCAGGCGGUCGUUCAAGUCGCGUGUGAAAGCCCCCGGCUCAACUGGGGAGGGUCACGCGAUACUGAUCGACUGGAAGGCAGGAGAGGGUAGUGGAAUUCCCGGUGUAGCGGUGAAAUGCGCAGAUAUCAGGAGGAACACCAAUGGCGAAGGCAGCCCUGGCGCUGGGACGUGACUGACGCUGAGACGACGAAGCGUGGGGAGCAAACCGG